rnacentral:rRNA from 1 species
UCCGGUUGAUCCUGCCAGAGGCCGCUGCUAUCCGGCUGGGACUAAGCCAUGCUAGUCUAGGGGCUUGUACUCCUUCGGGGGUGCAAGCACCGGCGGACGGCUCAGUAACACGUGGACAACCUGCCCUCGGGUGGGGGAUAACCCCGGGAAACUGGGGCUAAUCCCCCAUAGGUGAUGGGUGCUGGAAUGCCCCAUCUCCGAAAGCGCUUAGCGCCCGAGGAUGGGUCUGCGGCGGAUUAGGUAGUUGGUGGGGUAACGGCCCACCAAGCCUAAGAUCCGUACGGGCUGUGGGAGCAGGAGCCCGGAGAUGGACCCUGAGACAAGGGUCCAGGCCCUACGGGGCGCAGCAGGCGCGAAACCUCCGCAAUGCGGGAAACCGCGACGGGGUUAGCCGGAGUGCCCGUGCAUUGCACGGGCUGUCGGGGUGCCUAAACAGCACCCCAUAGCAAGGGCCGGGCAAGGCCGGUGGCAGCCGCCGCGGUAAGACCGGCGGCCCGAGUGGCGGCCACUCUUAUUGGGCCUAAAGCGUCCGUAGCCGGCCCAGUAAGUCCCCCGGGAAAUCUGGUCGCUUAACGAUCAGACUUCCG